rnacentral:rRNA from 1 species
UACGGGAGGCAGCAGUAGGGAAUCUUUCACAAUGCGNGUUGAAAGCCUGAUGGAGCAACGCCGCGUGCAGGAUGACGGCCUUCGGGUUGUAAACUGCUUUUAUAAGCGAGAAAUAUGAUGGUAACUUAUGAAUAAGGACCGGCUAACUACGUGCCAGCAGCCGCGGUAAU